UCACUCACUCAUCAUCUAUAAAUUGUAAGGACGUGGUUUACAUAUCCUUCACCUCAAUAUUCCUUCUUCUCUUAGGUCUGAUAUCGUCGUCUCUUCCUCUUACUAUUUCUGGUUUCGAAGUCACUUUUGCUUUUCCGAUUUCGUUUUCUUGAGUUUUUUUUUUUCUCCUUUCUCUAAGUUUACGCUGUGAUGAACACUUUAGUGUACCAAAGACGAGGCUUUUCGGAGUCAAAUCAGUGAUGGUAACACAACCUCUAAGAAGUUCUGAGCGCUUCUCUAUUAUCUUCUGCAAUUUUGAAAUUAGGGUUUCUUUGUGUUACUUUUUGGCUGAUUACAGUUUGUCUAUCUCUUGGAUUUCGUUGUGAUGGGUUUGGAUGGAGGAGAAUGGAGUGGCGUUGAUGUCUACUCGUGAAUCUCGAACAGGUGAUGAAAGAGAUUACUUUUUAACUGAGAAAUUUCAAUGAAGCUUCAAUUAUAGAGCUUUUUAAAACUGAUGCUCAGCCCCUAAGGUUCUCUUUCCUGCUUUUAUUAAUUUGGAUCUAUUUAGUUAUUUUAUUUUUUAAAAAUUACAAAAUCUUACAUGGGAACAAUCAGCAUUCAUAUUUGGAAUCGAUGGCAUCUCCCAAACCUUAAGAAACAGAAUUGAGGAAAAUGAUGUAAAUAUUUUCAUUUAUUUAUAAUUUGUUGGAGUUUUUGAUUCAAAAGUUUUGUUGAUAUUAGUUCAAAAUAAAAGUUUAAUUUGAUUUUAUGUUAUUUUAUUUACUUAAGAAUAAGAAAAAAGAACAUAGAAAAUAAUGAAGGUUUCAUGUGAAUUCAUUCAUGGCCAAUUCAAAAGAGAAUUGAUAAUGUGACUAUGGUCACAAGAAUCUUGAUGAAUUGCCAAUGAUAUUCAUAUUUGAUCUUUAUUUUUCUAUUAUUUUUUUUUAAAUCAAUAAAAUAAUAGAAAUCAAUGGAACUUAAUUUUUGUAAUGAGAUCUUCAAAUCUAUUGAAUCAAAAACUCCAAAAAAUUACAAUUUUUGAAAAAAUAGUAUUUUUCUUCUUAAUUUUAAUAUUAAAUCUAUGAAAUAGAUUAUUUUUAAUUAUGAAAAGAAAAUAUGUAAUGCAUAACACUUACGGGUUUUCUUUUUUAUUUAAAGCAGGCAUUGGAUGAUAGAUGUAGACUAGGAUGAAUUUGAUUUUAUUUUUACAACUUUGUAGCCACGCUAUUCUUUUCAUGUGUAUAAUUUUGUCUGUUGGUACUGAAAAUCAACUCCAUCAUAAAUCAACCCGAUCAUAUUUGGUAUGGUAAUGAUAUUGUACUGCAUAUUGAUACCAUAUCAAAUAUGGUUAUUGAAUAUUCAUACAACAUCAAAUAUUGCUACUUAACCAAAAAUUGAUACCUUAUAAGAUAAGGUAUUCAUAUCAUCCCACAUCUAAUAUUGGUAUCGAAUAUUGAAGUGAACAAAUUUGGUGUGGUAUCAAUAUGAGGUUCUUGUAUCGAAUCAUUAUUUUAUAUGGUAUGGGUCUUGUAUUGUAUUGAUAUUGUACCAUCAAUUUUUUUAUUGUACCAACUAUUGAUACCAUACAUUAUUGACACCCUUGUCCACUGAUACCAUACAUGAUUGACAACCUUAGCUUUGGCAUUAUUUGCAUUAAAUUAUGAAAUAAAAUUUUGAAUAUUAAAGGGGUUGUCUAAUUGACAAUCAAGGAUAUGUAAUCUAUGGUGAAAAUAAAUAUAUCUACAAAAUAAAGAGUGGUUUUGGGAGGGACUCUCCGAUGCUUAAGUCAGUGUUUAAAAUAUUGAUUUAUGCACACUGACUUAGGCAUCGGAGAGCUCCUCCCAGAACUUCUUUAACCUUGAUUUAUUUUGUAAGUAUUUUCACAAUUAACGUUUGGGUUUUGGCUAAGCUUCUUUGAUGUGUGUAGCAUAAUCUUUUUGUACCCAAUGGGUUUCGGUAUAAAUUAAAACUAGUUGAUAGCUUUCCUACCAAUGUCUCUUUUAACCAACGGUUUUUAGGGGACAUAUGUGACUAAACCAAUAAUAUAUUUUAGAUAUGGGUAAGAUUACUGAUGCCUUGUUUGGUGGGCCUUUUAUUAGUGAGUGGGCAAAUGAGAGCACAUAUAGGGGCAUCAGCUUGAAAAGAUUUUUUAUUUCUUAAAUGGUGGACCACUUAAAAAUCUUGCACCAAGAACGCGGUACAGUUUAUAAUUGGGUAGCUCGCAUGCAGUUUAUAAUUGGGGGUUACUUUAAAUAGACUUUAAUUGGUUAAGGACAUAUUUAAGUCUAAACGGGUUCAAAUGAGCUUUAAAUGUGUUUCCCUUAAAAUUUUUUUUUUUGAAGUGAAUGAAGACUUAUUAUAAUUCAAUUUGAAUAUUAAAUCAUUAUAGUUUUAUAAAUAUAAUAUAUAUAUACGAAGGUGACCCUAAUCUUUAGUAAGAGAAAAGAUGAGACUAUGGUUGCUUUUUAAUAAAGGGGGUUGGGCUAUAAUGUGUUGAUUUAGGUUUGGUCUAUGGUCGGUAGUCUGACGGGUUAAUUAUGUGCAUUGUGAAUGCCCAAGCUUGACACGUUUAUUAAGCGGGGUGGUUCAAAUAGGGCUAUAAAUGGUCGGGCUUGAUCGGUAAGCCCAAAAUUGACACCCAUAUCUAUAUUACCUGUUAAUUCCUACAUGCUUUAAAUUAUAUUAAUUAACAAUCAUCCAAAAUUUUAAGAACACUAAAUACAAAAACGGAGUGAAUCCCAUUUGCGUGUUGACUUCUAGGGAUAAUUUAUAUAUACCCUUCUACCGAAUUGCUUUUAACAAAUUAAUAUCUCUAUAAUUGAAUUUAUCCAAAAUAUCUUUUGAUCUUUUGUGAUUAUGUAUCAUUUCUUCUUCUUUCCCCGUUUCCUUCUAAACAUAUCCUUAGUGCUAUGAGUCCAGACCAACAAUGGAGUUGACUUAUUGAACUUAAAGUCAAACCAAUAUUCAAAUAUGGGUAAGAUAUUGGUGCCUCGUCAUGUGCCCUUUUUUUUUUUUAGUGUGUAGGCCAAUGAGAGCACAUAUAGGGGCAUCAAUAUAGAAAGAUCUUAAGAUAGAGUUUGAAUUCCCUUAAUCAUACGACUGGGACUUGUUUAUAUUUUGUAGACAACUCAAUGUAGUUACACACAUAAGAGUUACAGAUAGAGUAGGACUAUUGUGAGACUGUUACAGGACAGAGUAGGACUAUUACGGGGUAAUAUUCCUAGCCAUAGUGGCGCUAACAACUCUUGGGUAGAUGUAGAAGACUUAAGUCAAAGGCUGAUGUUAAGCUGAAGUGAUAAGGGUUGUUGUAACGUCCUUGAUAUGCCCCUGCAAGCAAAGUGGCCGGGCACGGACAAUGAGCUUGGCACGAACAUUAUUAAACCAAGAAGCAGGGAGACCCUUGGUCAUGAUAUUUGAUCUUGCGUUGGAACAAACCGAAUGCAGAGCCAAGUGGAAAUCUAUCUCAGUGUGUUUGGUUCAGGUAUGAAAUAGGGGGUUGGCUACAAGGUAAGUGGCCCCAAUGUUGUCACAAUAUAGCAUUGGCGGUGGAGAAGAGAUUCCAAGGUCGAGCAAGAGUUGACGUAGCCAGAGAAGCUCGGUAGUAGUUGAUGGCCAUACCCUUGUACUCAUACUCGGUCGAGGAUCGCACUACAGUGUGCUACUUCUUGGAACUCCAAGAAAUGAGGUUGGGGCCAAGGUAGAUGCAAUAGCCAUUGGUGGAUCAAUGCUCAUCGGGAUAGCCAGCCCAAUCAGCAUCCAUGUUGGCAUUAAGCUGUAGGGAUGGUGAGGGCGUAGGAGAAUGCCAAACUGUAGGGUAUCCUUAAGAUAUCGUAGUAUCUUUUUGACAGCGGCCCACUGCUCAGUUGUUGGAUAGUGCUUAAAUUGGCAAACCUAGUUGACCGAAAAGGCAAUGUCUGGGCAAGUCAAGGUGAAAUACUAAAGGGCAACAAUGAUGCUCCGGUAUUGGGUAGGAUCAUGGAAGGUAGUAGACCCUUGGAUGCAAGACAAUGCGAUGGUGGAGUAGGGAGUCGGCAUAGGCUAUUGGUUGCCCCAUAUUGGCCUUACAAAGGAGGUGAAAGGUGUACUUAGUUUGGGAGAGAGAGAGUCCCUCAGAUGUGCAGAUAGCCUCUAUACAAAGGAAGAAAUGGAGGUCAUCUUGGUCCUUAAUGGCAAAUUCAUUUCCAAGGGAGGUAAUGAGGCCUUGGAUAGCAGGGGAACCAGACCCAGUGACGAUGAUGUCAUCAAUAUAGACCAAGACAUAGAGAAGACAAAGCGAACAUCAACGAGCAAAAAGAGAGCAGUUUCAGAUGAGGAGGACUUGAAGCCUUGAGAUGCCAAAAAGAAACCAAGUCAAUGUGCCCAGGUGCCAGGUGCCAGGUGCCUGUUUAAGGCUAGACAAUGCGUGCUUGAGGUGGCAAAUUUAGUUGGGGAAGGCGGGAUCUACAAAGCCUUGGGACUGGGACAUGUAAACAUUUCCCUGAAGCGUCCCAUGUAGGAAAGCACUUUGAAUGUCAAGCUGUUGAAGAACCCAACCACAAGAAACCAUUAUAGAGAGCAUUGUAUGGAUUGUAGUUGGCUUGACGACCAGACUAAAUGUGUCAAAUAGUCAAUGUCCUCUCUUUGGUGAAAGCCCUUAGCAACCAAACGGACCUUGUAACGAGCAACUGUGCCACAGAAUGAUGUUCAAUGUGGUAAACCCAUUUAUUUCCAAUAAGGUUCAAACUAGGGAUUGGAGGGACAAGGCACCACGUCUCAUUUUGCAUCAACGCAUUGAACUCUUCACACAUGGCAGUCCGCAAAUGAGGGUCUUUGCUUGCCAUGGUAUAGGAAGUGGUUCAACAUCAUAAAUGGGAAGUGUGGUGAGAAGGGCAUGGGAAAUGGGGUGUUUGGUGGCAAGGAGGUUGAGCUUGGAGAUGGGUUUAUGGACACCAGCCUGAAGGCAAGUAACCAUGGGGUGAGAGGGAGGUGGGGCAGAUUUGGAAGGGGGAAGAUUACAUGUAACCGAGCAGGUGGGAAUAUAAGUGUUAAAGGGGGUAGGGGAAGAACAAGGCAGUGAAAGGGGGUAGUGAUAAAUCUAAUCGGUGUUGGGAGAGGUUACAAGGAAGAGAAGAAGGGGAAGGGGUAUUACAUUAUCUUGUGUGAUCACGAGGGGAGGGCAAGCAUGGGUUGGGGGAGGGGAAUUACAAGUAAUGGGGGUGGCAUAAGGAAAAACAGAUUCAUCAAACAACACAUGCCGAGAGAUGUAAGUACGUCCGAUGGUAGGGACAAAACAUUUGGAGCCCUUGUGUACAUUAUUGUAGCCAAGGAAGCUGCAUUUAGUGGACCGAUACUCUUAACUUAUGUCGGUUAUGAGGGCGUGAGCAAGGUAACAAGCACACCCGGAAGUCUGAAGGCACAAGUUGUUAGGAGCUCGACCAAAGAGAACCUCAAAGGGAGAGUGAUGCUGCAAAAUUGGGGUGAGCAGCUGAUUGAUCAAAUGUCCAGCAGUCUCAAAGGCAGGAAGCCAUAGGGACAUUAGAAAAAAAGCUUGAGCCAUAAGUGUUAACCCAGUUUCAAUGAUAUGGCGGUGCUUGCAUUUAGCUCUUCCAUUUUGUUCUGAAAUGCAAGGACAUGAAUACUGAUGGGUAAUUCAUUUUUGCUUGAAUAAAUGAUCAAAUAUUUGAUAUUCACGUUCUGAAUUUUACAAUGGAAAUGAUUUUCUACUAACGUGUGAAAAUUAAUAAAAGUAGAUAACGCCUCAAAGUGGCGAACAAGAGGAAAUAACCAAGUAAAUCUAUUGAAGUCAUCUACAAAAGAAAUGUAAUACUAGUAGCCCUGAGGCUAGGAGAUAGGGGAGGGUCCCCAAAUGUCUACAUGGACCAACUGAAAAGGGGGAAGUGGCAUUAGCCUUAGUCAAGGGAAAGGAGAUCAUAUAAGACUUUUCCAUCUGGAAAGAUUCACGAACCGAGGAGGGGGAGGAGCCGUGGAUAGGGAGUUAAGAUCGAAGAGAUUCUAAGCAUUUUGAGGUGGGGUGGCCAAGGUGGUCAUGCCAAAUUGAAGCAGGUAUACAUUCACCAAUAUGGAUUCCAGUUGUGGGUUUGAGAGAAGAUUUGGUGAUGAUGGUAGGCCUAGAAGAUGGUACAGUCAUCCUUAGUCGUUCCCUAGAGCGGAACCGUCCUUGUGCAAGGAUCCUUCACAUAGAAACAAUGAGGGUGAACUUCUAAAAUAGACAUUAUUAUCACCUAUGAAGCGACAGACAGAGAGUUGGUUAUUGAUUAUGUGAGGGACAUGUAACACAUCAUGAAGACGAAAAUCGCAAGUAGAAGAGGGAAUCUGAGAAAUACCGAUGUGUUUGAUAUGCAAACUUUCCCUGUUGCCGACUUGCCGACUUGCCGACCUGCACUUAGUCAGAACCAGUGUAUGGAGAGUGAAGAUUCAGAUUGCUAAGAUCAGUUAUGAGAUGAUGAGUGGCGUCCAAAUCGGGAUACCAAGCUGAGUCAUAGGCAGUGGAGGGAAUCGCAAGCAGAGCAUGGGGAGGAGCUGGAGAAGAUUGGAAGCUCGGGUUGACUCUAUUGUAGCAGGAGAGAGCGGAGUGGUUCCCAUGAGCAUAGAUUUGAUAGAGAUUGGAAGACCCAGAGGAGGGUUAACUGCCUUGCUGUUGAGAGGAACUGCGGCCACGCUGAUUGUUUAACCGAUGGCCAGUGUUGGUGUCCUUAGUGGUGCUAUUAGGACUAGCAGGUAGCGGCAAUGGCUUCGGUUGUGGGAAGGUCCAAAAGUGGGGAGAGUUGCUCCUUGAGAAUCUCUUAGUUGAGGAGUAGCCUAGUGAAGUCAUUCAAAGACGAGGGAUCCAAACACGUAGUAACAGAUGUGGCGAAUGAAUAAUAGUUUGAACCAAGACCAAGAAGAAUAUUGAGUAUCACGUCGGGUUCAAAGACUGGAUGAGCAACGAUAGUAAGAUGGUUUAGGAUUUCCUUCACUCGUCGGACAUAGUCAGACAUGGACAGAGUGACCUUUUUAAUCUGAAAAAGUUGUUACUUAUGCUGCAUGAUGCGUGCCUGUGAUUGCGAAGCAUAGAUGCGCUCCAGUGUAGUCCAAUCACCAUGAGAAGUGGGAAUGCCAAUAAUGUGGGCGAGGGAAUGAUUGGUGAGGGAAGAGAUGAUCCAGCUGAGGAUGAUCUGGUCCUGGCGACGCCAUUGGGUGUAAGCCGGGUUAUCAAUGAGGAGAGUAGUGAAGGAUAAAGAAGCGGGAGGGAGAGUCUUGGGUGGGCAAGCAAGAACGCCGUCAAUGUAUCCAUAUAAAUCAUCUACAUAGAGAAGGGGAAGAAAUUAGGACUUCUAUAAAAUAUAAUUGGACCAAUCUAGUUUCCCUGGGAGUAGGGAAAUGAUAUUUAUAGGAGAGAUAAGGUUGGGAGAUGAUGUGGUGGUGGAGGAGGUUAGGGAAGAAUUAGAGGAGGUCAUGACCGAUGAGGACUUGUGUCAAUGGCUCUGAUACCAUGAAAGAUCUUAAGAUAGAGUUUGGUUUCCCUUAGUCAUAUGACUGGGACUUGUAUUGUAUUUAUAGACAGCUCAAUGUAGUUACACAGAUAAGAGUUACAAAUAGAGUAGGAUUAUUGUGAGAUUGUUAAAGAAUAGAGUAUGACUGUUAUAGGAUAAUAUUCCUAGCUAUAGUGGUGCUAACAAAUCUUGGGUACAUUAGAAGACUCAGUCAAAGGCUGAUAUUGAGUUGGAGUGAUAAGGGUUGUUGCAGUGUCCUUGCUAGGAACCAUCUUUAUUAAAUGUCACUCUCAGUGGUAAAACUUGUCCUUAAUUUCC